GUAGGUGGCAAGCGUUGUCCGGAAUUAUUGGGCGUAAAGCGCGCGCAGGCGGUUCUUUAAGUCUGAUGUGAAAGCCCACGGCUCAACCGUGGAGGGUCAUUGGAAACUGGAGAACUUGAGUACAGAAGAGGAAAGCGGAAUUCCACGUGUAGCGGUGAAAUGCGUAGAGAUGUGGAGGAACACCAGGGGCGAAGGCGGCUUUCUGGUCUGUAACUGACGCUGAGGCGCGAAAGCGUGGGGAGCAAACAGGGAUUAGAUACCCUGGUAGUCCACGCCGUAAACGAUGAGUGCUAAGUGUUAGGGGGUUUCCCGCCCCUUAGUGCUGCAGCUAACGCAUUAAGCACUCCGCCUGGGGAGUACGGCCGCAAGGCUG
rnacentral:rRNA from 1 species